GUAGGCCGAAAUAUAAAAGAAAGCUACCGUUAGGCGGCAACUAAAGCUCAUUAAUUUAACUUACCCAAAAAGGAAACCAAGUGGGCGUGGGAAAUUCAGACCAAACAAUACCGAGAUAGAGGGACCGAAAAACAGGAUGUGCGGCCAGGUACGAGGAGGCAACAAGAAAAAACCACCAAGAAAAAGUAGCACGGAAGCGGAUUUUCAUUCAAGUUGCCAGUCAGGAGGAGAGGAGGAGGACGCUUUCUCCAUCUCGGCCCACUUUUUCUCCUUGGUAAUGAUUCAGCAUUAAAUUUCGGGUGACUGAAGAAAGGCAAGAAACAACAAAAUCAGCAGAAACACCAACAGCAACAAAGAAAAUCAGUAAAAUGAAACGAUGUCAAAGCAAAUGAAACUGAAGAUGAGACCAGAGCGAAA